rnacentral:rRNA from 1 species
UGGGGAAUAUUGCACAAUGGGGGAAACCCUGAUGCAGCGACGCCGCGUGAGCGAAGAAGGCCUUCGGGUCGUAAAGCUCUUUUAUAUGGGAAGAUAAUGACGGUACCAUAAGAAAAAGCCCCGGCUAACUACGUGCCAGCAGCCGCGGUAAUACGUAGGGGGCGAGCGUUGUCCGGAAUUAUUGGGCGUAAAGGGUACGUAGGCGGUUUUUUAAGUCAGGUGUCAAAGCGUGGAGCUUAACUCCAUUAAGCACUUGAAACUGAAAGACUUGAGUGAAGGAGAGGAAAGUGGAAUUCCUAGUGUAGCGGUGAAAUGCGUAGAUAUUAGGAGGAAUACCGGUGGCGAAGGCGACUUUCUGGACUUUUACUGACGCUCAGGUACGAAAGCGUGGGGAGCAAACAGG